UCCCCCAAGGGAGAUCCAGCAGGUUCAGUGCACAUUUCCAUGAUAAGAGUUGAGAUGACAGCCGCGGGGACGUAAACGGCUUCUGUUUGCAGGGAAACAUCAAUCAUGCACAAUAGCCGCCUCCCAGGUGGCAGUGACCUCUGGUGACCCCACAGCUCCUCCACACUUCCUCCUGGACACUUCCUGUGUGUGUGUGUAUUUGUACAUGUGGUAUUUACACUGAGAAGCAUAAGCCUGACUGCUGCCCCCAGACACAGGCUCAGGUCCAGGAUAUUUUUGUUAGUUUUAUCUACAUGGCCAGAUUUACUCCUGGCAUUAGAAUACCGACACUGACAAAAGAUGCAACUAGAUUUUGUCUCGAUAGAAAUCCAAGAGCAGAAAAUUACUUCCAGCCACGGGCUGAAUGCUGGUAAAUUCUCUCAGUGACUGUGGCAGAUAAUCAACCAAGCUUUUAUUAUGGAAUUGGCCCCAAAAAUCAGCAGGAGCUCUGCCAAAAUAAGGCUUUUUUUUCUAAGCGAAGACACUUUGAGGCUCAGUAAAGAAAAUAAUUGGAAGUGUGGCAGUUAACAUUAUGAAGCAUGAAGCUUGCAGUAAAGUAAAACCUGAGUGAGUGGAUUGUAGUUCUGCUUAUAGUUUAUUUCUAUUGCAGGGACUUUUCCAGGGGCCCAGCGGCCAUUCUUCAGUCCUCACUCUGCAGGAAACAGGAAGCAGGCAAAAACAAUCACAAUCAUUCAAAGUCACACUUUUGUGUGUUUUUUUUUUUUUUUUUUUAAGUACAAUACAUGCAAGCACAGAUGUACUGUUCGGACGUAGGUGCUCAACCAGACGGCCCAUCAUACCAGAGGGUCUUUGUUUAUGAAAAAAAAAAAGAGGUAUACUCCUGAGAUCCUUUACUUAAGUAAAAGUAACAAUACAAUGAUAUAAAGAUUCUAAUAUAAUAUAUACAUCCAUGGGUACAAGUUGGACAAUGGAACAAACUGACGCUGAAUAAUUACGUUUACUUCAUGCAUGGACCAAAAGCAGCUGCAGACGUAUGUAAACCGGGCGAUUGCGCGUUAAGCCGUGCGCGCUCCCGCGGAUGGCACAUUUGGGCAGAGUAUCACUUUUUGGCACGACACCGCCCGGCUCUCGACUUCCCUGUUCAGUUUUCCUUUUGCACAAGUCGGAUGCGCUUUGGUGCACGUCUUCAUUCAAUGGGACAAGCGUUAGAGCUUUAAGGCAGCAUCGGCUAAUGAACAAACGACAACAUACAUUUAGCACAAGUAGGACGAUGAAAUUAGGCAAUACCCCCUAAGCUGGCAUUUUUCAUACAACGUAAACAACUGCAAAACAAUUAUACUUCAUGCACGGACCAUAUUAUUCGGUUGUUCAAUUUGUAACAUAGUUUAUAUGAGAUUAAAGGUAUUGUAUGGCAAGUAGCCUGCACGGGACAGCCUCAGGUGACUAGUGGAGUAUAAAGCACAAUAUUACAGUACAUGUAGCCUGUUUACAGUAAUUACAGUUCAGCAAUACCUUAUGUACAUUUCGAUUAAUAUAUCCCUAAUCAAUAAAAAUUCGUUUGCAGGAGAAUUGGGAGUCCUGGGCGUUUUAUUGAUUAUUAGCUAACAGUUUUUUCUUUUUUUUCUUCCAGUGUUUUGAUUUGGCUGACCGCCAUCUUGGCAAUUGGGGAUAUUGGGCUAAAAUUAGAAAACGUAGUAAAGGAAAGGCAGAAGAAUGAUACAAGAAGAUGUUUUAUAAAGUGGAUUAAAGAAAAAACAGACGGUGGAAGUUAAACUAACUCUCGUUUCAACGAGUGAAAGCGGCGAAUUAACGAGCUAACGUUAGGCCCCAGCUAGCCGUUAGCUUUGCUAGCUUCGUUAGCGGAAGAUACUAACACUGAAGUGACGAGGAGCUGGAUUUUAAGGAUUAAUCGAUCUGCUUUGCCGAAAACCAGGACGAACAAACUCCCCAAGAAGCAGAUCUGACUCAAGGUAAUUACAGGGCUGCAAUGGAACAAAACAACAGAGAAGGUUGCUGCAGAGUUCACCCCCCCCGCCUUUGAUCUAAAAACUACAGCAGAAGGGAAAGAGCAGUGACCAAGGAGGCCGGCGUGUGACGUGGCGUGUGACGUGGCGGGACAGGGGACAGCGCUCAGUGUGGUGUGGACACAGACGUAGAGCUAACCAGCCAUGGGACGCUCCUCUCAGACUCUCCUGACAUCUCACGUCUGACUCCAGUCCAGAUGACGUCUCAGGUCUACAACUCUUGUGGUGGUGGUGAUUGUCGCUUCAGCCAUCGUUGUCUUCAUAAGAGGUUAUAAAUCCCCCUCUGAGCAGCUAACUCAUUAGCAUGCUAACUUCAGUAGAAGAAGUAAAGCAGGAGUCUGAAGGGCGGAGCGACACCUAGAUCACCUGGGCCAACUGCUUCUGCCCUAUAAGAAGUAACCUCUCCAGGCUGUCAUUGGACGCUCUCUCGGCUCCUCAACAUAUUGUACUUUUGUGUUCAUGCAGACAACAGCUCACACUUCAUACAUCCCACUCAUGCACACAUGCACCCACGCCACUGAUCAUACUGAUGUCCAAACCUCACGGCUAACCUUAGUUCUUUUGUGUUACGUCAAUUUCGUUGUUAAUAAAUUUAUUAUUGUUUGCACAA